CCUCCAGUUUCCCAUCAGGCCACGGGCACCUGUCUCGCCAGUGACGGACAAGUCGACCUUGGAGAGAUGAGGCUUCCCCUCCAGCACAGUGUGUUUAUGUCUCAGAGAGUGUGCUUAUGCCUUUUCUCACUGUGACACUGUGGCAGAGUGGUUACUGUGCAGCCUGAUGCUAAAGGCACAACUCUUUGACAGACACUGAGGGGAUUUUACCUGCGUUCGGAGGACUUUUCUGCUACUGUAUACUUCCACUGCACUACAUUUCGGGGCAAAACAUGUCUGUGGGCAGCUGGUGUCGGCUCCUGAGUAUAAACAGAGAAAAACACACCCAUCGUGGCCUCCUGAAACGUUGACAUUCUGCUGAUGGUGGACAUCCUGACAACAACAAUAUGAUGUGACAAGCUGAAGCAGAACUAAGUUACACGUAUGUUUACAUGUACGUACAAAUAAAUUGAUUAAAAAAUGUGCUAAUUUGGCUCUGAUGCAGCAUCUCCAAAGUGACACGGUAACCAGAGCCGAGUGGAGUGGAAGUAGAAAUACUCAAGUAAUGUACAGAUACCUCGAAAAUAAAGUGACCAUACUUAGUUACAUUACAUCA